AACGAACGCUGGCGGCAGGCCUAACACAUGCAAGUCGAACGCCCUAGCAAUAGGGAGUGGCAGACGGGUGAGUAACGCGUGGGAACGUACCCUUCGGUUCGGAAUAACCCAGGGAAACUUGGACGAAUACCGGAUACGUGCGAGAGCAGAAAGAUUUAUCGCCGAAGGAUCGGCCCGCGUCCGAUUAGCUAGUUGGUGAGGUAAUGGCUCACCAAGGCGACGAUCGGUAGCUGGUCNGAGAGGA
rnacentral:rRNA from 1 species